CCAGGAAUUGAACUGGGGUCUCCUGCAUUGCAGGUGGAUUCUUUACCAACUGAGUUACUAGGGAAGCCUUGGAUGUUUAAUAGACUUCUCCAUUUUAUUAUAUCUAAAACUAAACUCCUGAUCUCUCCUUUGUUCAAAAACCUAUACUUACAACCUUCUCUGUCUCAGUUAAUAGUAACUCCAUCAUUUCCACUGCUGAGGCUGACUCAGCAACUCUUACACCCCACAUCCAGUCUGUCAUCAAAUCCUGCUGCUGUUUCUUCAAAAUAUGUGACUAAUUCUCCCGUCUCCACUGAUACCACCUUGGUCCAAGCUGCCGUUACCUUCAAUCAGGAUUUCAUAUCAGCCUUCAUUAACCUUCAUUUUCUUCUCAGCCCAGCAGCCAGGGUGAUCCUUUUAAACUAUGAUUCUGUUCAAAGCUAUCUAGUAGCUCCCACCUCACUCAGAAAAAGCUGUGAUUCUUACAGUUAGGCUUACAAGACCCUGUUUCCUUUCUGAUCUACUUCCUGCUCUUCUCACCCUACCUUUCACUGCUCAGGCCCAUUGACCACCUUGCUGUUCCUUAACAUUUUGGACACACUCUCCUCAGGGAUUCAAAUUUGCUGUUCUUUCUGGUCAGGAUGCUCCUUUGAGACGUUUCUGUGUCCUUCUCACCUCCUCAGGUCUUUGCUUAAACGUCCCUGUUUCUGUGAGGCCUUCCCUUAUUACCCUGAUGAAAGUUGUUCACCCCACACCCCACCUUUCUCUUUGCUCUUUUGCUCUCUCUGUCUCCUUUUGGUACUUUAUUUUUCUCCAUGGCACCUGUCACUUUCUGGUAUGAUAUAUACUUAGCUCAUUUAAUAUGUUUGCAGGGACUUUUGUCUCUUUUUUGACUGCUAUAUUCUUAACAUUUAGAACAGUAUUUUAUACAUAGCUGCCACUCAAAUGAUGAGUGAAUGCAGUUGAAAUUCUGGACUUAAUCUCCUGGCAUUGGUUUGCAUAAACAGGUCUCCCUUAGCUUGAUAGCCUCUAAAUGCAUCUAUAAAUAUUGUUUCUGUAUUACAGCCUGAAUCAUAAGAGUCCACCAAAGUACUGACUUCUUGUGAGACCUGAUUUCAGCAUGGUCACACUCUCUGCCAUCUCUGUCUUAGUUCUAUAUAACCUGAAAGAGACGAAGACCUCUUUGAAGCUUUCUGAUCUUCCCACGUUCACAGUUAGAACUGAAGAACUGAUCAGCAAGAUUCUGGUUGCUUCUUAUUUCUAUUUUGAGGACCAGUUGGUAAGCUAGUAGUCCUGCUGCAUUCUUAUCUUCCUUGUGACUGAAAGCAAUGCCAUGUAAACAGAAUCAACUGACCUCUUAUCCUCCUGGAAAUUACAAAAGGCCAGUGGUUGGCAAAUAAAACUGGUAGCAGCAAUAAGUGAAGAUUUAUUGAGUUCUUACUUUUUGCUGGGCACUGUUUUAAGCACUUUUGACUUAUUAACUAACAUAAUCCUCAUAAUAACUUAAUGAGGAAAAUAGUAACAUUAGGAACAUUUUGUACAUAAGUAAACUGAAGCCUGAAAGGAUAAAGAAAAUCACAUCUCCAAGGUCUUAGAACUAGCAAGUGGCAACAGUGACAGUGUGAACCCAAGCUGGCAACCUGAUUCCAGAGCCUGAUUUCCAGAGCUGACAAACUGAUUCCACAGUGGCACUCUUAGCCGCUGUGCUCCACUGCCUGGUUGUAGAAUGAGAAGUAGGGGAGGGAAUUUACUUUGAGAAGAAAGCAAAGUAAUUAUUAUUCCAUUAGUGUGAGUCUGAUAGCAUCAUAGUAAUACAAGCACUUUCCUCUCAUAUUGUUCCUGUCACCAUUUCAUACAUGACACAAGAAUUAGGCUAAAAAGUUUCCAAAAUGCCUUGUCAGUCUUCCUAGGUGAAGGAGUAGGCUCCUUGGCACCCUCUGUCUAACCAUCCCCUUUCAGUUUUGCUUUGCUAAUUCCUUCUGUGUGGCUGAGCUCUGAAGGGUAUGUCAUGAACUCUGAGCAUGGUACUUAACCCCCUACCUCAGACUUGCACCCUAGUCUGAUUUCACUGCCUGAAUUCCAUGUUUUAGUUCCCAUUAAAUCACCUGUCACACUUACUUGCCAUUUUUUGUUUAAUUGUCUGGUUCCCUGCUAGACUGUAACCUCUGUGAGGGCAGCGAUUGCAUCUGCUUUAUUCACUGCUAUAUCCUUAAUACCUAGCAUGGUGUUUGGCGCACUGAAGGAGUUCAGUAAAAAAAAAAAUAAUGAUAAUGAGUAGAAAUGGUAUUUCUAAAGAAUAUCUGCAAUCAUAACCAUGCAUUAAGGUGAAUUUUCUUAUGGUUGGACUAGUCCAUCUUUUUCUUUCUUUUAUUUUUUUAAGUCCAUUGUUUUAGAAAUAGGAAAGAAAAUUUUCUUUUAGUCUGCUUUCCAGCUUUUGGAUUCUUAUGUUAUCAUUGCUUUGCCAUAAUGCUAGUUUUCAAUUAGUGCUGAUUUCUUCUUUAGAUUCAACUAACAUCCAACUGCAAUGUGCUGGACGGCUCCAUGAAGUCUUUCAUAUAUGUUUGCUAAUUUAAAUUGAGAUAACUUUUUUUUGAGGGUUUCGGCCUCAGCUGUACAACCAAGACACCUGACUGACUUGCACAAGAUCAGACUUUGCGGUUUAGUCAUGUUUGUAGUCUUGGUGACACUGGAAAACAACACAGCUGACUCACGCCCUCGCAGGAGCUGUUAUUACCUAAACUUAGGUACAGGAUACAGCGGUGCAAACCACACCCAAGAGGCAUCCCAUCUCUAUAAAGUGGACUGCUACUGGAGGUUCACAGAGGCUCCCUAACUAGACGGAUCCUUUUCCAAGAUGAUCUACGUCCUUUUUUUCCCCCACCCCCUGACCCCAGUACAAGUACCCUGUGUAGAUUCAUGUAAUUAAUCUGUAAAUGUUAUUGUUUAAUGUAUUAUUGACUAAUACUCUGUAAAUGUCAAUGAACAUUUAUUCUACAGUACAUUGCUAAAUAGUUUUUGUAACUGUGGUUUUUGAGCCCAGCCAGUACCGUGCUUUUGUAAUUGUGUGUCAGAAUUUUUUUUUUUUUUUCCUGGGAAGCUGGAACUGAAUCAUUUUCAGGACUUACAUAGAACCUAGUCUGUCAUCUUUAGUCCAAGAUUAAACAAACCAUGUAUA